CACCAUGUAAAGAUGCUUCUGCAAUUUUAUCAUUACUACUAAUUGUAUGACGGUGCAUCCAAGACAAAUAAAUAGUCGCAUACAUCUAUGUCAAAUAGUAAUACUUAAUGGUUUUCUAUGAAAUGUGACUGUUUGGUUUCUAUAGCUUUCUACACAUAUAUGCCAAAUAAACAAGUUUUUUUUUUUGGUAGAAAACCUAUUGCAGAAUGUGCAUACAAUUAGUCAUUAGAUAACACAAGCAAUUACUUGGCUAUCAAGCAAAUUGACAUCUUACAUAUCAUUUCGGCUAAUACUGUAUGUACUUCAUCCCUAUAACUUGAACAUUUCUACCUUCAAAACCUGAUCAAUUCAUUUGAAUUCUGGAUUUUCCUCUUUAGUAUUUUCAUAGAUAUCUGAGUAGUCAAGACCUUGUUUCACAAGGGAAUUUUUAAUCUGCUUUGCCGUAUAGAAAUCUCCCUUUCCUUUCAAGUAUUCCAGGCAAGAAACCACAGUAGAAAGGUUUGGUUUCCACGAAGGAUGACUUGACAGGAUUGCUUUCUUCAGUGCCUCCACUGCCUUUUUGGGAGCUGUCGUUGACACUCCUAAAUUAACCUCACUUUCACUCCACAAUUUACAAUAAUUAGCACAAUAGCAAGUAAGGAUCGAUCCCACAGAGAGUAAAGUUGUUUUAGAAUUA
rnacentral:lncRNA from 1 species